UGGGGAAUAUUGGACAAUGGGGGCAACCCUGAUCCAGCCAUGCCGCGUGUGUGAAGAAGGCUUUCGGGUUGUAAAGCACUUUAAGCAGUGAGGAAGGGGUGUAAGUUAAUAACUUGCAUCAUUGACGUUAGCUGCAGAAUAAGCACCGGCUAACUCCGCGCCAGCAGCCGCGGUAAUACGGAGGGUGCGAGCGUUAAUCGGAAUUACUGGGCGUAAAGGGCGCGUAGGUGGAUAAUUUAGUCAGAUGUGAAAGACCUGGGCUCAACCUGGGAACUGCAUUUGAUACUGGUUAUCUAGAGUACAGUAGAGGGUGGCGGAAUUUCCUGUGUAGCGGUGGAAUGCGUAGAUAU
rnacentral:rRNA from 1 species